UACACUCGCCACAGAAUAAAACCUCUUGCAGAGUGCACUGCUCAACAAAGAAUAGUUGAUCCACCCCACCAGAAGACUGUUGGUGAAUUUCUCACCUUAAAAGUUGAGCCCCUCUUUUUGAUAAUUUGAACCCAACCGCCUGACGAAGACUCUUGUGAGUCGAAACCGGUAGCAGGUUGGAAUCAUUUCAUUUGACUACUGGAGUCUACUCACAUGUAAUAAAGAAAGGACAUUUUCUCGAACGAAGACUUUGCUUUAUACUUCAAGAGAAGAACCUAUUGUUUCUACUUAUAUGUAUGUGGCAGUUUUUGAUAUGUAUAUUUGUAAUGUAUACAUUGAG